GAUGAAGAACGUAGCGAAAUGCGAUAAGUAGUGUGAAUUGCAGAAUUCAGUGAAUCAUCGAAUCUUUGAACGCACAUUGCGCCCCUUGGUAUUCCAUGGGGCAUGCCUGUUCGAGCGUCAUUUGUACCCUCAAGCUUUGCUUGGUGUUGGGUGUUUGUCCUCUCCUUUGCGUUUGGACUCGCCUUAAAGCAAUUGGCAGCCAGUGUUUUGGUAUUGAAGCGCAGCACAAUUUGCGAUUCCAACCGACUACACUUGCGUCCAUAAGCCUUUUUUAACUUUUGACCUCGGAUCAGGUAGGGAUACCCGCUGAACUUAAGCAUAUCAAUAAGCGGAGGA
rnacentral:misc_RNA from 1 species